GUUGAACGCUGGCGGCAGGCCUAACACAUGCAAGUCGAACGGUAACAGGAAGAAGCUUGCUUCUUUGCUGACGAGUGGCGGACGGGUGAGUAAUGUCUGGGAAACUGCCUGAUGGAGGGGGAUAACUACUGGAAACGGUAGCUAAUACCGCAUAACGUCGCAAGACCAAAGAGGGGGACCUUCGGGCCUCUUGCCAUCGGAUGUGCCCAGAUGGGAUUAGCUAGUAGGUGGGGUAACGGCUCACCUAGGCGACGAUCCCUAGCUGGUCUGAGAGGAUGACCAGCCACACUGGAACUGAGACACGGUCCAGACUCCUACGGGAGGCAGCAGUGGGGAAUAUUGCACAAUGGGCGCAAGCCUGAUGCAGCCAUGCCGCGUGUAUGAAGAAGGCCUUCGGGUUGUAAAGUACUUUCAGCGGGGAGGAAGGGAGUAAAGUUAAUACCUUUGCUCAUUGACGUUACCCGCAGAAGAAGCACCGGCUAACUCCGUG
rnacentral:rRNA from 1 species